rnacentral:rRNA from 1 species
AGUCACUGACAUUAGAUACCCCUGUAGUCCAGGGUGUAAACGCUGCAGACUUGGUGUUGGAGGCCCUUUGGGGGCAUUCAGUGCCGGAGAGAAGUUGUUAAGUCUGCUACUUGGGAGUACGUCCGCAAGGAUGAAACUUAAAGGAAUUGGCGGGGGAGCACCGCAACGGGAGGAGCGUGCGGUUUAAUUUGGAUUCAACACCGUAAACUCACCAGGGAAGACUGUUACAUGAAGGCCGAGAUGAAGACUCUGCUAGAUUUUUCAG